UCAGGAUGAACGCUAGCUACAGGCUAACACAUGCAAGUCGAGGGGCAGCAUUGGAGUAGCAAUACUUCAGAUGGCGACCGGCGCACGGGUGAGUAACACGUAUCCAACCUGCCGCUUACUCGGGGAUAGCCUUUCGAAAGAAAGAUUAAUACCCGAUGGUAUAAAGAGUUCGCAUGUUCUCUUUAUUAAAGAAUUUCGGUAAGCGAUGGGGAUGCGUUCCAUUAGAUUGUUGGCGGGGUAACGGCCCACCAAGUCUACGAUGGAUAGGGGUUCUGAGAGGAAGGUCCCCCCACAUUGGAACUGAGACACGGUCCAAACUCCUACGGGAGGCAGCAGUGAGGAAUAUUGGUCAAUGGACGAGAGUCUGAACCAGCCAAGUAGCGUGAAGGAUGACUGCCCUAUGGGUUGUAAACUUCUUUUAUAAGGGAAUAAAGUGAGGGACGUGUCCCUUUUUGUAUGUACCUUAUGAAUAAGGAUCGGCUAACUCCGUGCCAGCAGCUGC
rnacentral:rRNA from 1 species